rnacentral:lncRNA from 1 species
ACCAGUGUGAUCCAUGAUUCGGCUCGCAGAGCACAGUGGGAGCGGAAGUCAACCGCGCCGGAGUCGCAGCGAGCGCUUGCGCACUGCCUUCCGGAGGCCGGGAGGCGGAAGUCCAAGCAGGUUGUCCCAAUUUUGGCCUGCAAAGACUUCCUUCUCUCGCCUCUACUACCCAACUCCUGUGAGGGACUCAGGCAUAGUUCGGGCGGAGGCAGAAAGAGCGAGCGCGCGAAGAACUUCGGGAGAGCGCUUGUGACGCUACGAACCUCUCGAACACCUGACGACUGGGCGCCAGGGCCGGAUGGAGGGUGGAGAGCCAGUGCGGCGCAGCGGCCUCCUCUUAACGGGGACACCUUGCAGGAAUGUGCGGAGUGGAGCUAACGGGAGCGGAUAGAAACCGAGGGAGGGGAAGAGAGCGCGAAGGCUUGGCCGGAAGGAGAGGUUAAAAAGGAAAGGCCUAAAAUGAGGAAGAGAGUUACCACAACAAGCAGUACCUAGUUCCAGUUCUUGGUCCCAGGAGUUUGUGGUUGUUGCUGCUUUCAUCUUCCUCAGCCAACACAAAAGGAAAGUGCCAAGGGGCGAUUCCUAGGACCUUCAGUGCAGUCUCCACCUUGCGGACUUGGCUCAUUUGUGUCCACUCCUUUCUCCAGCCUUUUACACUUGAUGCUCUUGGAUGAAUAGAAAGGAGCACAAUUAAUGGAAAACACAAGCUUGGGAGUCAAGGGAUUUGGGUUCUAUUCUUGUCCUCCGUUGGUGACGACAUCAUUACCUUGGGUUAUUCAAGCUUUCAGUGCCAGAGUUCCUAUAUCAAUAAAAGAUUAUUACAUUGACCUCUUAGAGAAAUGUUUUCAUGGUACUGAAUUGCAAAUAAAGUAUGUGUAGCAAUGUGUUGUAUCUUUGUAGUUGUACGGUAUUAUCUGUGAAUCAUGCUGUGAUGAUCA